UACAAAGUGUUGAGGGUCUAUCGGAAGGACUGAAGGAGCUAGAGCUACACGCACACGCUUGAUUAUAAAUACUGUCUUCUGUACGAUCGAUCGUUCUUUGAAGAGUCUCAUUCUGUGACAUUUCGUCGCAUUUCGUUUCGUUCAAACCCCAACAUCUUCUGUACGAUUGAUUGUUCUUCGCGGAUUCUUGAAGAUCCCCGUUCUGUGAAAUUUCGUCGCAUUUUUCUACUGAUCGUCUUCUCCCGAGUUUUGUGGUUGCGAUUAUUGUUCGAUAGUCGAUCUACUUCGUCAUUAUAAUGACGAGAUUGAAUCCAGUAGCUCUUGCUGAAUUGGAAAAAUUAGUAGAUAAGGGUUUUCAGAUAAGCACUUGGACAGAAGAGGGAAUCGUACGCGCUGGUGUAAGGAUGGUAACAUUUGUUGCAACUGCCAAAAAUCUUACACAGUUAGAUGACAAGAGCCUGGAUGAGAUAUUGAGGAAGGCCACUGACGAUCUGCUGUGGUACAAUGCAUCUGAGUGCACGGAUGAACUGUUUGCCGGAUUCUUAGAUUGGCUUAAUAAAGAAGAAGGGAAGGCUUUCCUUCAUAAAGUCGGUAGGAAAAGAUUGUUUCGAAUUGUCUUGGGCUGAAGCUGCUUGUCUGUGCGCAUUUAACAAGCAACUUUCAGAGCUAAAUGAUAAAGCGAAAGACUAUAUGUCUGACAAAAACAAACACCUUGCAAUACAGAAGGUUAAUGCUUUGAAGGGCUCAUUGCAGCCUGCAGGUGCAUAUGUCGAGAUGAGUGAAGGUGAUUUAGGCAAAGCAUGCAUGGCUUUGCAAAUGAAGAAGGACCCAAGUACAGCUUCCCAUAAUGCUGCAUUGGUUGCUAGUAUCGACGCUUUUGAGAAGCAAGCGAUAGCAGCCCAUAAGAUUGAGUCUCUGAAUUCUACAGAUAAAAAUUUACUUAAAGAAUGGGUUAAGGAGAAGAUGAAUUUUUUUCUAAAAAAGAAUACAAUCAUACUAAAUUGAAGGAGUAUACUGCGUAUGCUGAAGGGCUUGGGGUCACUGUAGAUCCCGAAGUUUUGCAGUUGUUAGAAAAGGCCCCUCUUUCCGGAAUGAAGCGGAAGAGAAAUAUAAGUGGGAGAGGGAGAGGGAGAGGGAGAGGGAGAGGGAGAGGGAGAGCAAGAGCAAGAGCAAGAGCAAGGGCAAGAGCAAGAGCAAGGGCAAGGGCAAGGUUCAGGUGUUUUCCAGCUGGAGGGGGGCAGGGAAAACGAAGACUAAGCUGAGCAAACAGAGCCUGCAUUGGUAGGAUGAAAUUGAAAGACCAGAUAAUGAAUGCUAUAAAGGAUUGGAUUGUUGUUUGGUUGUAUUCUGUGCUCUUAUUGGGUAUUUUGAACUCUGUAAGUAGAGUCAUUUGUUCAAAAGAAUUAGCACGUUGAUUGGUUGACAUGGAUUGAAAAUGAUACUACAAGGUUACAACAAAAAAGAAAUAAAAUAGACUCUU